rnacentral:rRNA from 1 species
GAUGAACGCUGGCGGCGUGCUUAAUACAUGCAAGUCGAGCGGUAAGGUUCUGCACUCAGUAUUUGACCAGAUAAGUCCGGCAAUUGCCGGAUACUGUCUGCAGCGAUAUCCUCUAGGCUAGAGGAUAUAGGUCGAAUGAUGAGUGUAGAAUACACGAGCGGCGGACGGCUGAGUAACGCGUAGGAACGUACCCAACUGAGGAUAAGCACCAGAAAUGGUGUCUAAUACCGCAUGUGCUCCACGGAGUAAAGCUUUA